UACGAAGGGGACUAGCGUUGUUCGGAUUUACUGGGCGUAAAGCGCGCGUAGGCGGAUUUGUAAGUCAGGGGUGAAAUCCCGGGGCUCAACCUCGGAACUGCCUUUGAUACUGCAAAUCUCGAGUCCGGAAGAGGUGAGUGGAACUCCUAGUGUAGAGGUGAAAUUCGUAGAUAUUAGGAAGAACACCAGUGGCGAAGGCGGCUCGCUGGUCCGGUACUGACGCUGAGGUGCGAAAGCGUGGGGAGCAAACAGG
rnacentral:rRNA from 1 species